AGCAGUCGCCGCGGGAAUACGAAGGUCCCGAGCGUUGUUCGGAAUCACUGGGCGUAAAGGGAGCGUAGGCGGCGUGGUAAGUCAGAUGUGAAAUCCCGGGGCUCAACCCCGGAACUGCAUCCGAUACUGCCAUGCUAGAGGAUUGGAGAGGUAGCUGGAAUUCUUGGUGUAGCAGUGAAAUGCGUGGAGAUCAAGAGGAACACUCGUGGCGAAAGCGAGCUACUGGACAAUAACUGACGCUGAGGCUCGAAGGCCAGGGUAGCGAAAGGGAUUAGAGACCCCUGUAGUCCCUGUCUCUUAUAC
rnacentral:rRNA from 1 species